rnacentral:ncRNA from 2 species
AAUAGCUCAUUAAUACGCUCAGAAUUUAUUUUGCGGCGACCAACAGGUCUUAAAUGGAUAGCAGCAGCAACUCUGGUGCUAAUACAUGCGAUUGUUUCUCCAGAUGUGAAUUAUGGAGGAAAAGUUGACUUCAUCAGAGGCACGCCAUUCGACUGAGUGACCUAUCAGCUUGUACUUAGGGUCUUUACCUAGGUAGGCUAUCACGGGUAACGGGCGGUUACCGUCGGACUGCCGGAGAAGGCGCCUGAGAGAUAGCGACUAUAUCCACGGGUAGCAGCAGGCGCGAAACUUUCCCACUCGAGACUUUCGGAGGAGGUAAUGACCAGUUCCAUUGGUGCCUUUUGGUACUGUGGAUAGGGGUACGGUUUUCCACCGUACCGAAACCUAGCAGAGGGCCAGUCUGGUGCCAGCAGCUGCGGUAAUUCCAGCUCUGCGAGUUUGCUCCCAUAUUGUUGCAGUUAAAACGCCCGUAGUCUGAAUUGGCCAGCAAUGGUCGUACGUAUUUUUACGUUCACUGUGAACAAAUCAGGACGCUUAGAGUAUGGCCACAUGAAUGACUCAGCGCAGUAUGAAGUCUUUGUUUUCUUCCGAAAACAAGCUCAAUGAGAGCCAUCGGGGGUAGAUCUAUCUCAUGACGAGUGGUGGAAUACUUUGACUCAUGAGAGAGAAGCUGAGGCGAAGGCGUCUACCUAGAGGGUUUCUGUCGAUCAAGGGCGAGAGUAGGAGUAUCCAACAGGAUUAGAGACCCUGGUAGUUCCUACCUUAAACGAUGCCGACAGGAGUUUGUCAUUUGUUAAUGGCAGAAUCUUUGGAGAAAUCAUAGUUCUUGGGCUCUGGGGGAACUACGACCGCAAGGCUGAAACUUGAAGGAAUUGACGGAAGGGCACACCAGGGGUGGAGCCUGUGGCUUAAUUUGAAUCAACAAGGGGAAACUUACCAGGACCAGAUGUUUUUUAUGA